rnacentral:rRNA from 1 species
AUGUGUGCUGUUGUUUACUUCGUCGUUCCUGUUUUAGAGACUCUUGCAGCUCGUUGUGCUUUGCCGGCCUUGUUUUACUUGUGUGAGGUGACUGAGGACGGUUCUGUUUUGGCUGGGGUAGAGCUUGAGCUUCCUUUGGAAGGCGUCGGCGCGGUGUCACGGAGGCAGUUCUUUUGGAGCACAGCCUGGCGUGGCUGCGUUGGCGCUUACGAUCACGCUGCUGUGCAGGUCAUCAAUUUUUUGCAACGAAUCUAUGGGUUCGUUGUGCGAGACUACAACUAUGAAUGCAUGAUGGCGUAUAGGGAAUCCAUGCGUUCUGCUGUUCUUGUCGCUGUGUAUGCUGCUCGGCACGCCGGGAGAUUGGAGAGAGAGGUUUCUGUAGGGCCAGGGUUAUUUACCUCGCCUCCUGUUGAGCGGGGAACGUUAGAUUGGAAUUUAUUGUGCUCUCAGCUUAUGGCAUCCAUGCGUAAUGUGUAG